rnacentral:lncRNA from 1 species
GGUGGAGCAAUUAAUCCACAACUCAGCCCAGGGAAGCAGACAGCAGAUCGUCAUUUCACUAAUGAGAUUGCUGAGCCGUGGCUCGGAGUGCGUGGGCCUGGCCAGGUGGAGACUUGAUGCUGGCAGGAGGGGCGUUAGAAUCCUCACCUACCUAAGCCUGUGGUGGAGCAAACAGCCCUGCGGGACUCAAUGCGUGUAACCCUUGGAUUUUCACCCAACAGUUCUGCAAGUCUCUUUCCUCAAAUAAACCAUCCCCCAUCUGCAUAAUAUGGAAGCUAAGUAGAUCGCCCACAAAGAAAAGAGAACAAUCCUGUAUAAAAUGAGGAAGCCAGACUAAAUAAUUCCAAAGUGUCUUUAGGCAAAUGCAGACCAGAAUACAGCAUACUGAAGAUGGAUCCUUCUAGACCCACUCCUUCUGCUUGUCUGGAAAGCCCAGGCCUGCCAGCAUCAGCGGCGACAUUUCAAUUCUGCCAGUUUGAUCAGACCACGUGGAUUUUCUCUCUCCAAUACACCAGCUGAUAAUGAAGAGACAAAUGUUAGCUAAGGCAGCCCUGGUCAAUCCCAAAGUCCUUAGAUGCAAAAGACAGGGAAGGUGCUAAUCAUCUCAGGAGGAGACCCCAGACGGGCUCAUUAAAACCAUUAUAAGAAAUCCCUAUCUCCCCCACCACACCUCCAAGGAAACCCUGACCCUGGUGAGUGAGCAGGGAUUGCAGGGGCUUCCCUUGCACCAGUUCUUUUGGCUUAGGAGGGAGGACAUGGCCCAGCUCACCCACCACCUGCAGCAGCAACAGCAGCAGCCAUUACCUUUGAAAUAAUCCUCGCUCGCACACCAAGUAUUUGUUAUGAGUCUGUGCCUGGAAGUAAAUAUCACUUCUGUUUAGGUGACCAUGUGUCCUGGGUUUCCCAGGACAGUCUGGUUUAUGCCUGUUGUGCUGACACACAUAUGAUUAGUACCUACUGCCAUGCUGAAAAGCGUCUUGUUUGGGCAAUAAUGUAUGUGGUUACCUAAGCUCUACCAAGUUGUUUCAAAACUGAUUGGAGGGAAAAAAAAAAAAAAAACCUAUAGCGCCACCAACAAUUAAAUUAUAAGAUUAUUUUUCCAAGAUCACAGUGACUCAAAGUUUUCCCUCAUAGAUGUUAUAUAUUUAGUUUGAGGUACUGGUGGGGAGGGGGUCGUAAAUGCAAUUCAGUGUUAUAAGAUUAGACAAGCAAGAAUGGUAUUCUGUAGCCUUACGAAAUCACAAACACAUGUCAGUCGUCAGUUUAACAAAGGAUCCUCUGUUUAAAAAUAAAAUGUUAUGCUAAAAACAAAUUACAUUUAAGUAAGUAUAUAAUUAUACUUAUUUUUAAAUGCUUUCCUAUGAAAAGAAAGGUUUUCCUGUUUUUUUAAUGAGAUACCAUUCGAUAAUAUAAAAUUAACCAUUUUAAGGUAUACAAUUCAAUAGUUUUUGGUGUAUUCACAGUUGUGUAUGACCAUCAAGACUAUCUAAUUCCAGAACAUGACCCCAAAAAGAAACCCCAUAGCUGUUAGCAGACAAUCCAAUUCCCUCUCCUUCAUCCCCUGGCAACCACUAAUAUAUUUUCUAUCUUGAUGACUUUGCCUAUUUUGAACAUUUCCUAUGAAUGGAAGCACACUGUAUGUGUCAUUUCAUGUCUAGCUUCUUUCUCUUAGCAUAAUGCUUUGAAGGUUAAUCCAUGAGGUAGCAUGUAUCAGUAUUCCCCUCCUUUUUAUAGCUGAAUAAUAUUCCUCUGCAUGGAGAUACCAGAUUUUGCAUGCCCAUUGAUCAGCUAAUGGACAUGUGGUUUGUUUCCACUUUUUUGCUAUUACAAAUAAUACUGCUAUAAAUAUUCAAUGUACAAGUUUUCAUGUGGACAUAUGUUUUCAAUUCUUGGAUAUAUACCUAGGAAUGGAACUGCUGGGUCAAAUGGUAACUCUAUGUUUAAUUUUUUGAGGUACUGCCAAACUGUUUUCCACAGAGGCUGGAUCAUUAUACAUUCCCACAAACAAUGAUUACGAGUUCUAAUUACUUCACAUCUUCUUCAAUCUUUCUUAUUUUCUUCAUCAUCAUCAUCAUCAUCAUCAAGAUCAUCAACAUCAUCAUCAUCACAAUCAUCAACAUGGCCAGCCUAGUAGGUAUAAAGUAGUACCUUACUGUGGUUUUGAUUUGCAUUUUCCUAAUGAAUAAUUUUCAUGUGUUCUUUCAUGAACAUCUUUUUGCAGUGGCUUUUUGUGUAUCUCCUUUGAAGAAAUGUCUAUUCACACCCUUUGCCUAUUUUAUUUUAAUUUAAUGAUUCAGUUGUCUUUUUGUAGUUGAGCUUCAAGAGUUCUUACAUAUUUUGGAUACUAAUCUCUUACAAAAUAUCCUAUAUACAAAUAUUUUAUCCUAUUCUAUGGGUUGCUUUUCACUUUCUUGGUAGUGUCCAUUGAUUCACAAAAGUUUUUAGUUUUGUUGAAAUCCAAUUUACCAAUUUUUUUCUUUUAUUGCUUAUGUUUUUGGUGUGACACUUAAGAAACUAUUGCCUAAUCCAAAGUCCUGCAGAUUUAUACCUAUGUUUCUUUCUAAGAGAUUUAUAACUUUAGAUUUUACAUUUAAAUCUUUCAUCUAUUUUGAAUUCCUUUUUUGUACAUAGUAUGAGGUAAGGGUCCAACAUUAUUCUUUUGCAGGUGGCUAUCCAAUUGUCCUGGCAACAUUUAUUGAGAAAUUUCUCUCCCAUUUGACACCCUUGUUGAAAAUCAAUUGACCAUACAUGUAUGUAUUUCUGUGUGGACUCUCAAUUCUAUUCCAUCGGUCCAUAUGUCUAUCCUUAUAUCAGCACUACACUGUAUUGGUAACUGUGGCUUUGUAAUAAGUUUUGAAAUCAGGAAGUGUGAGUCCUCCAACUUUGCUCUUUUUUUUUUUUUUUUUUGAGACGGAGUCUUGCUCAGUAGCCCAGGCUGGAGUGCAGUGGUGCGAUCUCAGCUUACUGCAAGCUCUGCCUCCCAGGUUCACACCAUUCUCCUGCCUCAGCCUCCUGAGUAGCUGGGACUACAGGCACCCACCACCAUGCCUGGCUAAUUUUUUUUUGUAUUUUUAGUAGAGACGGGGUUUCACCAUGCUAGCCAGGAUGGUCUUCAUCUCCUGACCUCGUGAUGCACCCGCCUCAGCCUCCCAAAGUGCUGGGAUUAAAGGCGUGAGCCACCGCACCUAGCCCUUGCUUUUUUUUUUUUUUUUUUUUUUUCCAAGAAUAUUUUGGCUAUCCAAUGUCCCUUUCAUUUUCAUUUGAAUUUUAGGGUCAGCUUGAAUUUUAGGAUCAGCUUGAAUUUUAGGGUCAACUGCAAAAAAGCAGCUGGAAUUUGACAGGAUUGCAUUGAAUCUGUAUAUCAAUCAGGGGAGUAUUCUAUUUUAAUAAUAUUAAGUCUUCCAAUCCAUAAACAUAGAAGAUGAUUUCUUUCAAAACUCUUUUGUAGUUUUCAAUGUAUAGGACUUUCACUUCCUUGGUUAAAUUUAUUCAUAACUAUUUUAUAAUUUUUGAUGCCAUUUCAAGUGGCAUCACUUUCUUAAUUUCAUGUUUGGAUUUUUCAUUGUAAGUGUAUAGAAAGACAACUGAUUUUUGGAUAUUGAUCUUAUAUCCUACAACUUUGUUGAACUCAUUAACUCUAAUAAUGUGUGUGUAUGUAUGUGUGUGUGUGUGUGUGCACGUGUGUGUUUCUUUAGGAUUUUUUAGAAAAUCAUGUCAUCCACUAAUAGAGGUAGUUUUAACUUCCUUCUUCUAAUCUGGAUUCUCUCUUUCUCUCUUCCACUUCUCUCAUUUCUAACUCUCUUUCUCAUCUAAUUGCCCUGGCUAAAAUUUCUAGUAAAAUGUUGAAUAGAAGUGGUGAGAGAAAACAUCCAUAUCAUGUUUCUGAUAUUACAGGGAAAGCUUCCAGUCUUUCACAGUUAAGUAUGAUGUUAGCUGUGGGUUUUUCAUAGAUGCCUUUUAUUAGGUUUAGGAAGUUCCCUUCUAUUUCUAGUUUGUUGAAAGUUUUUAUCACGAAAGGAUGUGAGAUUUGGUUAAAUCCUUUUUCUAUAUCUAUUGAGAUGAUCACAUGGGUUUUCCCCUCUUCAUUGUAUUAAUAUGGUAUAUUGCAUUGAUUGACUUUCAUAUGUUGAACAAACUUUGCAUUCCUGGGAUAAAUUCCCAUUAGCUAUAAUGUCCAGCCCUUCUAAUAUGCUGUUGGAUUCUGUUUGCUAGUAUUUUGUUGAUAAUUUUUGCAUUUAUAUUCAUAAGAGAUAUUAGCCUGUAGCUUUCCUUUCUUGGGAUACCUUUUUCUGGUUUAAGUAUCAGGGUAAUACUGACCUCACAGAAUGAGUUAGAAAGUGUUCCCUCUGCUAUUUUUUUGGAAAGAUUUUGAGAAGGAUUGGUGCUAACUUUUCUUUAAAUGUUUGGUAGAAUCCAUUGAUGGAGUCAUCUGGUCCUGAGCUUUUCUUUGUUAGAAGUUUUUUCUUGCUAACUCAAUAUUUACUUUUAUAAGUCUAUUCAUGUAUUCUAUUUUAUCUUGAGUGUCAGUUUUGGUAGUUUUUAUAUUUCUAGGACUUUGUCCAUUUUAUGUAGGUUAUCCAGUUUGCUGGUAUAUAGUUGCUCAUUAUAUUCUCUUAAAAUCCUUUUGUAUUUCUGUAAAAUUGGUGGUAAUGCCCUUCUCUCAUUUUUUAAUAACUUUACUACUUUCUUUUAUUUCUCUUCAUCAGACUAGCUAAAGGUUUGUCAAUUUUGUUAAUCUUUUCAAAUAACCAACUUUUGGUUUUGAUGAUUUUUUUUCUAUUAUCUAUUCCAUUGAUCACAACUCUAAUCUUUAUUAUUCUUUUCUUCUGUUUGCUUUAGGCUUAGUUUGCUUCUCUUUUUCUAGUAACUUAAGGUGGAGUUUAGGUUAUUGAGUUCAGAUUUUUUUUAUGUAGGUCAGGUGUCAUAGUGACAAACUAUCUCAAUUUUUAUUUAUUUGGAGGUUUCUUAACUUCUCAUUCACUUUUGAAGGAUAAUUUUGCAAGAUACAAAAUUCUUGGUUUACAGUAUUUUUUUUUUUUCAGCACUUUGAAUGUCAUCACACUGCCUUUGGCCUCCAUGGUUUGUGAUGAGAAAUCAGUUGAUAAUUUUACUGAGGAUUUCUUCUAUAUAAUAAGUUGCUUCUCUCUUACUGCUUUUGAGAUUCUCUAUUCGUCUUUGAUUUUCAACAGUUUGAUUAUGAUGUAUCUCAGUGCAGAUCUAUUCUAGUUUAUCUUACUUGGAGUUCAUUGAGCUUUUUGUAUGUAUAGAUUGAUAUUUUUUAUCAAAUUUGCAAAGUUUCACCAUUAUUUCUUCAAAUCAUGGUUCUACCCCUUUCUCUCUCUUCUCUGAGACGCUCUUUAUGGGUGUAUUGAUGGGCUUAAUGUCCUCCGGUCUCCUAGGCUCUGUUAAUUUUUCUUCAUCUUUUUCUUUCUUGUUCCUCUGACUGGAUACUCUCAAUUUACCUGUUUCAAGUCUUCUCAUUCUUUCUUUGGUCUGUUCAAAUCUUCUGUUAAGCCCCUCUAGUAAUUUUUUCUUUUAGUUAUUCUACUUUUCAAUUCCAAAAUUUCUAUUUGGUCCCAUUUUAUAAUUUAUAUCUCUUUAUUGGUAUUCACUAUUUGGUGAGGUAUUGCUCUCAUAACUUAACUCUUUAGACUUAGUUUCAGCUUUUUGAAUAUAUUUACAAUAGCUGAUUUAAAGUCUUUGUCUAGUAAUGAACUCGUUUUCACUUUCUCACUUUCUCAAAGACAGUUACUGUUGAUUGCUUUUUUUUUUUCUCCUGGUAUGUGCCACUGAUGUUUCUUUGCAUGCUUUGUAAUUUUCUAAUUGAAAAUUGAAGAUUUUGAAUAUCAUAACCUGGGAAUCAGAUUCUCCCUCCUCUCCAUGGUUUGCUAUUAUUGCUGUUAUUUUAUUUGUUGUUUAUUCACUUUUCCGAAUUACUUCCAUAAAAUCUGUAUUCUACGUCAUGUGUAGCCACUGAAUGCUUAGUUAGCUUAGUGGCCAAUUAAUAUUUGAAUAGAAAUAUCCUUCAACACUUGGAACUAAUAAAUCAUCCACUCCUAGCCAAGGGGCUCUGUGUCCAUUGUGUGUGGGGGUGGGAGGAUACCUUCAACACUCAACCAGGCAGUUUACUACUCAGCCUUUGCCUUCACUUCCUGAUUAUGCGUAGCCUAAUGGCCAGCCAGAGUUAAGAGACUGGGGCCUGCCUGCAUUUUUCCUGAGUGUGUGCACAGCCCUGGACAUGUGAAUGUUCUUCUAAAAUCUUAAGAACAUGUAGGACCUUUUCAAAGACCUUAUUCCCUACAGCAUGUCAUUCCCUAGACUUUGCUUCCAAGUUUUUUGGCUAGUCUAUUGUUUCCCCCAAUUGUUAUCCAUUGCCUUAGACAGUAGAGAAGAAUGUUUAGACCGUGCUCCCUUGGGAGCAGCUUAGUAUAAAGCAAGUUCUCAGUCAGGAGAGAUAAAAACAUGUGUCUAGUAGCAUGUCUUCAAGGCAGCCACCAGAUAGAUCAAAUUAGAAUUUUCUGUAAAUAAGGUCCAUUCUGCUCCCUCAUAUGCCUGCACUGGGAAUGUGGGUUGUUAUUUCAAGGCUGCUGCUGAGCUGGGGAUUGGAGUAUGGGAUUCAGAUAAGUUAAGACACCACAGUUUUGCUUUUUUCAUUAAGAAUUGACUAAGGUUUUUUGUUUUUGUUUUUAAAUAAAUGCUUCCCAGAGUACUUCAAGUAUUUGGUUACAUUCCAGAGUUCUGAAAAAGCACAUUCUGAUGGUUAUUGCCACUUUUUUUCUAGCUUUUAUAGAAGGGUGAACUUUUGGGAUUCCUUAUUCCACCAUUUUCUCUGACAUUACUUGUUGUUUUGUUUUGUAUUUUCAUAAAGGGGAUUUCAAAGAAACCUGCAAAACUAGUUCAGGCCAUGAUAGGAAGGAAC